rnacentral:rRNA from 1 species
UACAGAGGGGGCAAGCGUUGUUCGGAAUUAUUGGGCGUAAAGAGCUCGUAGGCGGCUUGUUGCGUCGACUGUGAAAACCCGCGGCUUAACUGCGGGCUUGCAGUUGAUACGGGCAGGCUAGAGUUCGGUAGGGGAGACUGGAAUUCCUGGUGUAGCGGUGAAAUGCGCAGAUAUCAGGAGGAACACCGGUGGCGAAGGCGGGUCUCUGGGCCGAUACUGACGCUGAGGAGCGAAAGCGUGGGGAGCGAACAGG